UGUUGGUUCUCCCGCAACGCUACUUUGUUUACCGGUCAGGUCCGGAAGGAAGCAGCCAAGGCAAAGGACGUGUGUGCCGGGAUGUAGCUGGCAGGG
rnacentral:SRP_RNA from 1 species